GACGAACGCUGGCGGCGUGCCUAAUACAUGCAAGUAGGACACAGUUGCGAACGGGUGAGUAACGCGUAGGUAACUACCUAUUAGAGGGGGAUAACUAGUGGAAACGAUAGCUAAUACCGCAUACUAGUAGAUGGACCUGCGUUGUAUUAGGUAGUAGGUGGGGUAAUGGCCUACCUAGGCAACGAUACAUAGCCGACUCGGGAGGGUGGUCGGCCACACUGGGACUGGGGAACGGGCCAGAAUCCUUCUGGAGGCAGCAGUAGGGGAUCUUCGGCAAUGGGGGGAAACCUUACCGCGCAACGCCGCGUGAGUGGAGAAGGUUUUCGGAUCGGAAAGCUCUGUUGUUAAGGAAGCGGUACUUAACCAGAAAGGGACGGCUAACUACGUGCCAGCAGCCGCGGUAAUAC
rnacentral:rRNA from 1 species